CACUCCUAUUAUUGUGCCAAUAUUUUUCUUUUUUUAAAAAAAUUAAGUUUGAUUCUUGCUUUUAUAUUUAAAUUUAGAAUUAUUUUAUAUGUAAGUUUUAUCUUUUUUUCUAAAUGAUUAAUUUUUCAGUAUUUAAUUUUGGUUUUUAUUGAAAGAUAAAAUCAGGAUUUCUUCUUUUUGAUUGACAAAAAUUGUGCCAGCCGUCGCGGUUAUACAAUUAAUCAAUUUAAAUAUUUUUGGUUAAAUAUUAAUUCUUUAAUUUUUUUAAUUUUAAUUAAAAUAAUUAGGUGAAAUUUUUAUUUUAUAAAAAUUUAUAGGUUGAUGAUUUAUAUAUGAAAAUCUUUAAUAAACUAGGAUUAGAUACCCUAUUAUUAGGAUUGUAAAUUUUACUUUAAUAUUAAUAGUUAUGUUCUUUAAAUUAAAAGAAUUUGGCGGUUAUUUAAUCUUUCUAGAGGAACCUGUCCUUUAAUUGAUAAUCCACGAUUGAUUUUACUUUAAUUUUAACUUAUAUAUCGCUGUCAUUGAAUGUUUUAUUAGAUUAUUUUCUUAAAUUUUUAUGAAUUUAAUGUUAGGUCAAGAUGUAGUCAUAUUAAAGUAGAGAUGGGUUACAUUUUUUUUAUAAAUGGAUUGGUUAUUGGAAUUUAACCAUAAAAUUGGAUUUAGGUGUAAUUUUUUAUUAAUAUAAAUUUUGAUUUUAGUUCUAAAUAAUGCACACAUCGCCCGUCACUCCCAUUUUUAAGUUGGGAUAAGUCGUAACAAAGUAGACCCACCGGAAGGUGGGUCUGGUUAUUACAAGUUAUUUCAUUUAGUGAAUUUAUUAUUUACAUUAAUAAAAGUGUUGUGCAAUUCAAUAUAACUUGAAUAAAUAAUUUUAUUAUUUUUCUUAUUUUUUUUCUUUUUAAAAAAAAUAUUUUAUCUUUUAGUAUAUUAUUGAAUUAAUAUAUUUUAUUAAUAGUUUAUUUUACUGUGAAGGAAUAUUUAUAUAUACAUAAAAGUAUUUUUUAUUUAAUGUACCUUUUGCAUCAGGGUUUAUUAAAUUAAUAAAAUUAUUUUAUUUUCUCGAAAUUCUGAGAUUUAAUUUAAAAUGAUUUUUUUUGUUUCAAAACAAUUUUUAAUUUUAAAUUAGAUGUUAUAUACUUUUCAUUCAGAUUUAUAUCUAGUUUAUUAAUAAUUAAAUUUAAUUUAUAUUUAUCAAGUUUUAAUUUAAUUUUAUUAUUAAAAUUUUUUAAAUAAAUAUUUUUGGGGAUAAGCUCUAUAAUUUUUUAAAACAUUUAUUUACUAUAAGAUUUUUUUUAGGAUUGAAAAUUUUCAUUAUAUUUUGUUAUAAUUAUUUUUCUUUAUGAAAGAUUUUUUUUUGUUUAAUUUUUUAUUAAUAUUUUAUAUUUACUUUAUGUUUAUAAUAAAUAAUGAUAAAAUUAGUAAUUUUUUUAAUCUGUUUAUAGUAACUCGGCAAAUUUAAUUUUCACCUGUUUAACAAAAACAUGGUCUUUUGUUUUUUAUUUAAGAUCAGGCCUGCCCAUUGAUUUUAAAAAAUUAAAAGGCUGCGGUAUUUUAACUGUACGAAGGUAGCAUAAUCAUUUGUCUUUUAAUUGUAGGCUAGAAUGAAUGGUUUAAUGAAAAAUUAACUUUCUUUAUUCAGUUAAAUUUAAUUUAAUUUUUAAGUUAAAAAGCUUAAAUUUUUAUAUAGGACGAGAAGACCCUUUAGAAGUUUACUUUUUUUAUAAAAAUUAUUUUUUAGUUUUUAAAUAAUUUUUUUUUGAAUGAAAAGUUUGGUUGGGGUGACAGUAAAAUUUAAUUAACUUUUAUUUUUAAUUUCAUUUAUAAAUGUUUUUUUGAUCCAAAAUUUUUGAUUAAAAGAUCAACUUACCUAAGGGAUAACAGCGUAAUUUUUUUGGAGAGUUCAUAUCGAUAAAAAAGUUUGCGACCUCGAUGUUGAAUUAAGAUUAGAAUUGGGUGAAGAAUUUCAAUUUUCUUGGUCUGUUCGACCAUUAAAUUCUUACAUGAUUUGAGUUCAGACCGGCGUGAGCCAGGUCGGUUUCUAUCCUUACUUAAUAUAAUUUAGUACGAAAGGACCAUUUAUAUUAAUUAAAUUAUUUUUUUUGAUU
rnacentral:rRNA from 1 species